rnacentral:lncRNA from 1 species
GAACAUAGAAUUAGGAUUGUGACAAGAGACAAUGGUGGCAAUGACACGUAGUUAGAAUGUUACAGCUUGUGAAGUCUGUAGCUAAAUCUCAGGAACAGAAAUGUUGAGAAGGGUAGACUGAUGACUACCCCUCAGUGGAAACAGACCAGAUCUCAGCUUAUCUGGCUGGAAGGAAAGCAAAAAAACAAAGCAAAACCAACCAAAAAAUCCUAAGAAACAAAAGACAGAUUCAAGCCAAUCUGUGAUUUGUAAAAUAAGCCAGGUGCAGGCUUGUAUACUGGGCCACAUGGUGACUUGGAUUUUUAAGGGUUACACACAUGAGGCAACUACAAUCCAGAGGAAUUUGUGACUAUCCUCAGAGGCCACAGCCAUUGAUGCCUCUUUCACUCUGCCCAUUAUGUCCCACUGAACAGCUUGGGUGUCAGAGCCAGCCAUUUUGCUCUGUGAGGAAGUAAUUUUGCAGUUAAAUUGGACCUGGUUGCAUUUUCUAGUCUCUGCUUUCUCCAAAUAUCCCAGUACUUAGUUUUUGCUCUGGUUGAAAAAAAAAAAAAAAAAAAAAAAAAAAAAAAAAAAAAACCUACACUAAUGGAUUAAACAACCAUUUGGAAAAGACAGUUUGGCCUCUGGCUUGCCCCUGCUCUUC